rnacentral:misc_RNA from 1 species
CUGAAUUGUCAACAAGAGUUGUUGCUGGUCCUCAAAUGAGGGCACGUGCACGCUCUGUUCACACAUCCACUCACACCCUGUGCACCCUCUGUAGUUCUAUGGUUGGGGGGCCUGUCCUCUUGCUAUGGUUCUGCAUCUUUACACACACACACCGUAACAAAGUCUCAUGGAGUGCAUGCCGCGUUUAACGCAAUACAAUA